UGGGAGAAGGAAACCGGUUAGUUGGUGGAGUCGGAAAGAGAAUUCCUGACGACUAUAAUGGAGGUGGUUUUGGUAGAUAGACACACAUACACACAGUGUGCGUAGGUGUGCGUGCAUGAGUGCGUGUGUUUUUAAUUCUCUGGAGCGUGACUAGGAGACAUGCUCGCACACCUGGGUUUUUCAUUACGCAAACGGGCGAGCUAAUUUAAGACCUGAGCGCAAGGUUGAGCUACCACACCAACUACGGUCAAACGUUUUUUCUCGCCACCGAUCCCUCAUCUAUUCUGCUCAUUCACUAUUUCCCAUUUAAAAAAAAUCUGCUUUGAGAAAUUAACAAGUUGGUUAUUUAGACAUUAAAUACACUAAGGAAUAUACUUUGGGGCAAGGGGGGUGACCAUCCACGGUAAAGGUACAACCUUACCGGCGUAAAGAUUGAGGGGUGUGUAAGAAGAGAACAGGAAAGAGAAAUAGGGGAAAGGAUGGGAAACCACGACUCAUCUUAACCCUGGAAGCACGUGAAAUGAAAAGGUCACAGGAAUACACUUCAAGGGUCAAAAGAAAAAAAACACACACAUUUUUCAGUUAGUUAAAUGUAAAGAAACAAACCCCCCAAAAAGUGGUACUACAUAGAUAAAAAGAAAUAGAGAAAACUCCUUAAAAAAAUACAAUUUGAAAGCAAAAGUUUGUGUAGAAUGACAACAUGAACAGCAUUUUUACAUUUUCACUCUGCUGCACAGAGCCCUAAAAUAUAAAUAAAAUGGAUGUUGGCUACAAGUUCCAAAUCAAAAGACUGUUUCCUCCGUAUUCACCACCGACAGUCUUUUGUUUGAGCAUGGAGACAAAAAACGCACACACAUCCACAUGCGUCCCCCCGAAAUCUCAAAUGCAACACAAUGCAACAAUCCAUCAAUCAUAUUGCAUAUUUCUAUUCUCUGGUGUUGCAAUAGUUGUUGUAUUUGCUGUUGUCCUUGUUGUGUUUUCUGUUCUGGCAUGAAAGUGUGGCUGUUGAGGUGGCUCUGGGGCGUCUUCGCAGGGAUUGGUCCGACACUCUACCACGGGCUGUCACUCCAGUAGCCGUUGACUGUCCCUCCUAAUGUACCCACCAGCAAGGAAGGUAAAGGGUUGGGGUCCAAGAAAGGGAAAAAAAGGGAGAAAAGAAUAGAAAAGGAAAACAAACAAAAAAAGGGUUGCCAUUGGCUGCAAGAAAGGAAUGUAUAUUGCAGUCUGGUACAGGUCUGUGACAAGUCUGGUGCAAGUCUGGUACAUGUCUGGUACAAGUUUGGUACAAGUCUAGUACAAGUUUGUAACAAGUUUGUUACAAGUCUGCAACAAGUCUAGUACAAGUCUAGUACAAGUCUAGUACAAGUCUGGUACAAGUCUGGUACAAGUCUAGUACAAGUCUGGGACAGAUUUGGUACAAGACUGGUACAUCUCUGGCACAAGUCUGGUACAAGCCUUGUAAAAGUUUGGUACAAGCCUGGUACAAGUCUGGUACAAUUAUGGUACAAGUCUGCUACAAGUUUGGUACAAGUCUUGUACAAGUUUGGUGCCCGUCUGGUACAAGUCUAUCAUAAUGGUGGCGGAGAUGGAACACAUGACCAGUACAAAAAAACAACAAACCAAAAAUAAACCAGCAAAGAAAUAAAACAGGCUUUUUGGUUCUGACCGAGCUGAACCGUCUAACGUACCUCCAUUCUUUACCUUAAUGCACUUCUUCCAAAUUCCCCCCGAAUACAAAGUGAACAAAAAGGUUCUUAAAGUGGUCCAAACGCUACAGUGCUGCAGCUCAGCCGCGUCUCUUCUGAACUCGGCCAUUGGGGUUGGGGGUUGGGGAGUUUGUGUGUACUGGUAGCUUUUUCAGUUGCGGGGGAAUUUUAUCCACAAUGCUCGAGAAUGAAGACACACAGUCCCGUCCAUGUGACAAUGCCACUGGACGCUGGAGGCGAGGAGGAGGUCAUAAGUUCAUAGUUUGGGCUCGGCUUGGAUCCUCCUCUAUCUACACAUUGGCUAUUCAACCAUCAGCUUUCUUUUCCUAUGUUGCUUUCGGCAAAACUUACUACAGCUGACCACUGCUGGACCACACGAUUGGUGCAUGUGAUCGAUUGCACCUGACUCCCUUUCCUCCCCUCCAGAAACAUCACAAUCAUCAUCAUCUUCUUCAUGUAAAUACGUGAUGCAUAACCACGCGGUGGCAAUGGAGGACCACUAGGACUCAACAGUUCAGUCAAUCACUAACAAGGUCCUAUCUUAUCUUAGACCUAUGUGUCCUACUUGUACUGGUAAAAAGUGUUAGUACUAGCUAGCUAGCUUCAUAGUUCAAGGUUUCGCUACAUUUCGCUAAUUAUUCCCCUAAGAGGUUGCUUCGAAGCUGUGACUUCUGGUCUUAUAUCGCACUAAAAGCCUGAGGAGGAAGAGGGAGGAAGAGGAAGAGGUGGAGGGGUGAAGCAGAGACGCGGUCCGGGGCUUUCCUACGUUCAUUGUGACCAUAGUAAUGGAGGUUAAACCCUCUCUUCUUUUCCCAUAUAUAUGUUUACAUAUAUGCAUAUCUAACACUUAUAGGCACGAAUUCACGCGGUGGAGAUUAGUGUAGUUUAUGUCUGUGUGGGUGUGUGUGUGUGUGUGUGUCCAUGAACACGUGUUAGUUCAGAAUGGUUCUUAACGGUGGGUACGAUGGUUCGGAAUGCUCUACUCUGAGACAACUCUAACGGGCACCAUGUUGAAAAAAGAGAAGAUGUCUUAUACCGUCUAAAUCUACAUGGCUUUUUACUUUUUAAAGGUGCACAGGUGCUAUAGGUUUUGGUAAUUUCCUUUGAAAUAAAUAUUCAUAUAUCAGAUUCCUAAGCUUUAUAAAAUGCCUGUCUUGUUUUUUUUUUGUUGAUGUUUCCAUGUGUUAUUCAUGCGUGCUACAGGUUCGGCAUGUACGUGUGUGCAUGUGUGUAGACAUGCAGGUCUUUCUACUUCUUCAUUCUUUUUGUAUGUGUGAGGCAAGCUUUUUAAUUUGACCUCUUAUCUUAAAUAUGAGUCCUGGACCCCGAGAGCAGGUGCAGACGCAAGGGCGAGAAAUGGCCGUGGGAAACGUGGUCAUCAA
ensembl:lncRNA